rnacentral:siRNA from 1 species
AUUGAAAUAUAUGACGGACGGUGU